rnacentral:lncRNA from 1 species
UAGGCAAAUAAUGGAAAGGUAGCAAUUCCAGAAUGCUAUCUAAUCUAUUAUCUUCCAACUCCAGCAUCUUGCCCUUCCUAGUUCACCGCAGGUGCCCAGGGGUAGGAUUUCUUGGAGAAACACAUAGACUCUACUGUAUGUAAAGUCCACGCCCGCUUCUUCUUCGUAUCCCAGCAUCCUUUGUAAAUGAACCGAGAGACUGCUUCUUCCUUAAGACUGAAAAAGGGGCAAAGGAAACCAGUCCCCUAAAAUGAGGGACACAAUUCCUUGUGCAGUGCCCUGUCACAGAAGCCCCUCAUCCAUGCUCUUUGCCUGGCCAGGACUGAAAAGUACAUCUGGUGAUGACAAUGAAAAGGUGGUGGAGAUACUGCCACAGGAAAUCAGAAAAGAGGGUGGUAGGAUAUGAACAGGGAUGCUUUUCCCAAAGAAAUGAUCAUCCCCUAGUUUUAGAGCCGCCCUGUCCUUUGGGAUGUGUGCAUUUUCAGGAGUUUAAUGCUCAUGAGGUAAACACUCAUCAUGGCAAAGAACAUUGGGAUUACCUGGAAAAUAAAUUAAUUCGGAGAAGCAGGUGGGAGUUUCUCAUCACUUACCUCUUCCCUUUCCCUGCUUCCCUCGCCAUCGCACAACUCCAGGCCCAUAGAAAUAGGGACAAUUAUUUAUAGACUCGUAGAUCAGUGGCCACACUCUUCCACUUUGAGCCUUUUGGUGACACUAAAUUAAUCACCCUAAAGAUCAAGAAGUGAUGCCAGAUCCUGAAUGUAGACCCUUGAUUACCAAGCCCUUUCAUUGCAAAACCUGCUCAUUCUACAAAGGAGGUGCCGAGGUCAUUGACAGCUCUCUUGGCCGCCCUCUGAACUAAGCCUGCCUUGAAUGCUUCAUCUUCAAGUGGCUUCUACGGGGAUCGUCGCGAUCAAAGACCUCCUCAUCCUUGUGCUGCUGUGGAUGUUUGCACUUACUACAGAGCCAUUCUCUCUCUGGCCACCUGAUAAAUAUUUGUUGAGGAUAAUGAUAAGGCGAGAAGAGGCAUCUCUGCAGGGGUUCAGUAGGUCUGAACCGAGGGAGGGAGAAAAUCAUGGAGAUAGUUAACUCAAUGUGAGGUACCUAAGGGAAGGGCUUGGAGAAGUAGGGGAAAUGGGGGUACUGUGUGGACUGUAUAAACCAAAGAUUGACCACCAUCCAAAUGGACACAUGUUUCUUCCAGUGGCUAGUUUAGUUGUCUCCCAGUGUGCUCAUAAAUAAAAGAGAAGGUGGUUUGCUUGCUCGAGUGUAACUGUGAAAACCUUAGGGGAUCUUCUCUUGCAGGCUGGUGAUUGACCUUACUAAAUCCAGAAAUCUAAAAAAAAUGUAUCAUGGCCUCAGGACUGCACCAUCUUGAAAGUCUAGCACAUAGCCCCAUUUUCCUUCAAAAGUUUCAGACCGUUCUAGUGCUUUGUUGAACUCAGAUUAUUGUUCUCUUUGAGAAUGUGAAGAUUUUAAAGAGCCAAAGACUUUUCGUGUGUAAGAGCUGGUGAAUUAUAGUCUGUCCUGCUCUUUGGAAGAAACUACCAAGCUAUUGCAGGUAGUAAUAGAUAGUAGGGCAGUGGAAGAAAACCUGCCUAAGAACGCUUCAGUCUGUGUCUGUGUUGGUGUCCCUGGGACGGCGCAGGAAUAGGAUGUUAUUGCAAAGGGCAGGGUGCCCUCUGCUGGAAUUAUCGCCGUUAUUCUUUCAGCCCAUUAAAUUUGACUAGCGUGACCAUUUCCUCAACAACUAGUUGGGAUUUGCCUUUCAUCACACAGCCUCCUCAGUCGUUGAGAAUUUGGUCCACAUUUGUCAAAAGAGGAAGGAACGUCAUAAACUCUGAAAAGGUGAAGGAGGACCCCCAUGGAAGGUCUCAGCAUCCGCAGCCCCUUUCUUCUGCAAAAUGUUGAAAGAGUUUCGUUUGUUCUGUUUUGCAAAGUAGAUGCCUCUGGCUGGAAGAUUCGUGCAGAGCCAUAAGGCAAGGGCCUAAUUAUUUUGUAACGGGAUCUCAACUUUUUUUCUUGUCAAAUUGCAAAGGAAGAUCAAUAAACAGACGUCUUUCAUAUGAAUGUAAAUGGCGUGAGAUGCUGACGUGUUUUGUACAUGUACAUAAUGAUAGAUUUACUUCCGGAUUUCCCAUUAGUAAUCUUAAAUGGUUGUACCAUUUUGUAAUUAGAAAGCGAGGCGGGAUGGGGGAGGGGAGGGAGGGUUGCUAUUUUUAUAGUGGGAUGUCCCUUAUAUUUAGAAAUCUCGAAGUAAUUUUGUACGUGUGAAAAGUUACAUUCCAUUCAUUUCCUGAGAAAAUACUGGGUAUUGUUCUUUAAAAUGUUCAUGAGCUGGGAGGAUAAUUGGUCUAGUUUCCAGAGGAGCCUUCCAGCCGUAUAGAUGUGACACCGAUUUUGUGGACUGCAGACCAUAACCAGCCAUUGCCAGUUCAAUAAUGUGAAAAGGGGAAAAAAAAAAAAAAAAAAAAAAAAAAAAAAAAAAAAACUUAUUUUAACCCCUAGAGCACCCCGGGGGAAGAAGAAUCUCCUACAAAGAAUGAAUUUAUCAUUCUGAAAUAAUCCAGACAUGGCAUCAUAAAUCAAUACAACUAUGAAAGCAUAAAACAAUCUCUUGUUCCUCACUACUAGCAAGAAAAAAAUCCAGCGAAUUUAUUUUUUCUCUCCUAAACAUGAUUGAUGUGAGUUCGUUGUAAACACAUGAUGUCACGGGGAGAAUUUUACUGAGCGUCCCCUCCAGCGUCUGCAGACCCCACUCGCAAUGGACCCCCCUCCUCUCCACAUUCAGAUCAUGAGACUGAGCUUCCCUGAUGUAUCUGCCACGUGACCCCAAAUCACCAAAGUUACUCCUCAUGGCAUUUGCAUGAGUUACUUUUUGUUUUGACUUAGAUUAGCUCUUCAUUGUUAAAAUGUAGAAGUCAAUGAUGUAGCUGUUUUACCCAAACAGCAUCUCCUACACAAAGUCACAGGCAUAUUUAAAGGAUUAGUUGAGGCAGUGUGCUUUUUAGAUUUUGUUUUGUUUUGUUUUUUUUCUGUAUUACGUCUCUUUCUCUUUCCUUCUUCCCGCCUCAGGCACCUACCUUACUCCUUCUAAAGCACUUUAUAUCUCUCUUGAAAUACACAGAAGUUUUGAAAAACUGUCUUUAAAGGGAUUUGUCUUCUAUUAGGAGACACGACUUUUAUUUUGCUUUAUUCUAUUCUCUAUGUGCUUGGAGAGCAUACUCUGUCUCAUACAGGCUAGUGACGAAAUAUUAAGGAUAAUAGUUGGAAACAUUUGGUGGUACACAUGGCUAUUUUUGUUAUAUAGAAGACUAUAAUGUAAAUACGUGCAAUCGUGUUCUUAUGGACUGGUUUAAAAAAAAUGCAACCAGAAGAUUUGAAAAAGAUUGUGAAUUCCAGGAAAUUUCAUUGCAAAAUUUUGUUUUGGUUUUGUUUUUUAAUAAAAUGGAAC